UGGCCGUGUAACUUUAGUGGCGGACGGGUGAGUAACACGUGAGAAUUUACCUUUAGGAGGGGAAUAACAGUUGGAAACGACUGCUAAUGCCGCAUAUCUUAACUAUGAAAGAAGAAAUUCGCCUAAAGAAAAGCUUGCGUCUGAUUAGCUAGUUGGUAAGGGUAAAGGCCUACCAAGGCGACGAUCAGUAGCUGGUUUGAGAGGACGACCAGUCACACUGGAACUGAGACACGGUCCAGACUCCUACGGGAGGCAGCAGUGGGGAAUUUUCUGCAAUGGGCGAAAGCCUGACAGAGCAAUACCGCGUGAGGGAAGAAAGCCCACAGGGUUGUAAACCUCUUUUGUCAGGGAAGAAGUUCUGACGUUACUUGACGAAUAAGCAUCGGCUAACUCCGUGCCAGCAGCCGCGGUAAGACGGGGGAUGCAUGUGUUAUCCGGAAUCACUGGGCGUAAAGCGUUUGUAGGUGGUUUAGUAAGUCUAUUGUUAAAGCUUGAAGCUUAACUUCAAAAAUGUAAUAGAAACUACUAGACUUGAGGAUAGUAGGGGUAAAGGGAAUUUCCAGUGGAGCGGCGAAAUGCGUAGAGAUUGGAAGGACCACCGAUGGCGAAGGCACUUUACUGGGCUAUUUCUGACACUAAGAGACGAAAGC
rnacentral:rRNA from 1 species